rnacentral:rRNA from 1 species
AGAGUUUGAUCCUGGCUCAGGACGAACGCUGGCGGCACGCUUAACACAUGCAAGUCGAACGAGAGAAGAGGAGCUUGCUUUUCUGAUCUAGUGGCGGACGGGUGAGUAACACGUGAGCAAUCUGCCUUUCAGAGGGGGAUACCGAUUGGAAACGAUCGUUAAUACCGCAUAACAUAAUUGAACCGCAUGAUUUGAUUAUCAAAGAUUUAUCGCUGAAAGAUGAGCUCGCGUCUGAUUAGCUAGUUGGUAAGGUAACGGCUUACCAAGGCGACGAUCAGUAGCCGGACUGAGAGGUUGAUCGGCCACAUUGGGACUGAGACACGGCCCAGACUCCUACGGGAGGCAGCAGUGGGGAAUAUUGCACAAUGGAGGAAACUCUGAUGCAGCGAUGCCGCGUGAGGGAAGAAGGUUUUAGGAUUGUAAACCUCUGUCUUCAGGGACGAAAAAAGACGGUACCUGAGGAGGAAGCUCCGGCUAACUACGUGCCAGCAGCCGCGGUAAUACGUAGGGAGCGAGCGUUGUCCGGAAUUACUGGGUGUAAAGGGAGCGUAGGCGGGAUCGCAAGUCAGAUGUGAAAACUAUGGGCUUAACCCAUAAACUGCAUUUGAAACUGUGGUUCUUGAGUGAAGUAGAGGUAAGCGGAAUUCCUAGUGUAGCGGUGAAAUGCGUAGAUAUUAGGAGGAACAUCAGUGGCGAAGGCGGCUUACUGGGCUUUAACUGACGCUGAGGCUCGAAAGCGUGGGGAGCAAACAGGAUUAGAUACCCUGGUAGUCCACGCCGUAAACGAUGAUUACUAGGUGUGGGGGGACUGACCCCUUCCGUGCCGCAGCAAACGCAAUAAGUAAUCCACCUGGGGAGUACGACCGCAAGGUUGAAACUCAAAGGAAUUGACGGGGGCCCGCACAAGCAGUGGAGUAUGUGGAUUAAUUCGAAGCAACGCGAAGAACCUUACCAGGUCUUGACAUCGUAUGCAUAGCUCAGAGAUGAGUGAAAUCUCUUCGGAGACAUAUAGACAGGUGGUGCAUGGUUGUCGUCAGCUCGUGUCGUGAGAUAUUGGGUUAAGUCCCGCAACGAGCGCAACCCUUACUGUUAGUUGCUACGCAAGAGCACUCUAGCAGGACUGCCGUUGACAAAACGGAGGAAGGUGGGGAUGACGUCAAAUCAUCAUGCCCCUUAUGACCUGGGCCUCACACGUACUACAAUGGCUGUCAACAGAGGGAAGCAAAGCCGCGAGGUGGAGCGAACCCCUAAAAGCGGUCUUAGUUCGGAUUGUAGGCUGCAACCCGCCUACAUGAAGUCGGAAUUGCUAGUAAUCGCAGAUCAGCAUGCUGCGGUGAAUACGUUCCCGGGCCUUGUACACACCGCCCGUCACGCCAUGGGAGUCGGUAACACCCGAAGCCUGUAGUCUAACCGCAAGGAGGACGCAGUCGAAGGUGGGAUUGAUGACUGGGGUGAAGUCGUAACAAGGUA